rnacentral:lncRNA from 10 species
AAUUAUGUUUAUUGCAGCCAACCAUGUUCUACUGGUACAGAUAGUCCCACUGGCACAGAUUAUCUCUAUUGUAUGGGUGAAGGCAAUUGAGGUUUGACAAGUUGACUCAGCAAAUGAGUGGCAGUAUCUGGGCUUUUUCCUCCUGUCUGACCCAGAGUAAUUUUUUAACUUUCCCUGGAGUCCUGAUAAAAAACGCAGAUUCCUCUACUUCACUCCCAAAGAUUCCAUUUAGGAACUGAGGUGGAGUCCCAGGAAUCUCCAUUCUAAGCAAGCAACACAGAUCGUUCUGAUGUGAGGGCUUCUUGAACCCCAUUUGAAGACUCAUGGUCCCAUGUCAUCCAACCCCUCAAUCAAGCUCAUUUCUUUCCAAAGCCUAUUCUUUCUCCCACCAUUUUGGGCUGACAUCACCAUAGCAUCCACACAUCCACUCCUAUCCCUCAUCCCAGACACAGGUGUGCCUCAAUAUAAAAGCAGAAGGUCCUGGUUCUCUGGGAUCUGCGGUUCAAAAGUACGAUCACUCAGGAAGGUCGGAGGGUGGGGGCACUGUCUCCUCUUCCCUCCUCUUGGGAAGUAUUUGUCAAAAUGGUCAUCCUGGGUGGUCACAGAUUGACACAAUCAGCUUUACUUAUUCAACCAACCAGCCCACUCAUUACUUGGGUGUCAACUCCCUGGAAAACAGUGAAGUGAAAUGUUCAUGAGUCUUUGUUUGUGGGAAAGGGGAGGGGAGGAAUGGGGGAAAAUUGUGCACACGUUCAUUUUUAUUUCAAAAGAAACCCACAUGGUUUGUUGUCAUUCAGCUCUUUGGCUUUGCCUGAGAGACACAGAAUCCAAAUGUAAUAUUGUAGAAAGCUGUGAAACCAAAGUUUUGAAUUUUUCUCAAGAAUUUCAUUUUUAAUAAUAAAAAAUCACCAAGCCCAUGUGUCCCAUAAAAAUAAAUGAACGUUUUCACUCAUGAACCAAUAAAGCAGAUGAAAGUUGGAAGCCACAUAAUACUUUCUGUGUAGCUCAUCCAGGCCAUGCAAGGCCUUGGAGAAGAAUUAUUUUAUGUUUUGCAGAUGGGGGAAACUGAGGAAGCACCAGGUCCAUGUGCCUGGGAAAGUAACCUGCCAGCUGCUCUAAUUUGGAAGAGCAGCUCUUUGGAGGGUUGGAGAAAAGCCCGGACCCUGUAGCAUGGCAUGUUCCAGCCAAGCCAGGAUGUCCAGCUGCAUUUCUGGAGGGGACCUUCUUGCCCCUGAGGACCUGUGGUUCUUCAGAGGGUCAUGUUGCUUCAUGCCUUGUCCCUGCUGCCCUUUCUUAUGGAAAUAUUCUCCUGCUGUUUUCCAGAUAGCACAUACCCACUUGUCCCUCACUCAUCACCAGAAGCUGUGGGUCCUCCCACGUGGCUGCAUUCUCUGGCCCUGCCACAGCACUUUAACACCCACUGACAUUUACGGCCACCCCACCAUCCCCCCACCAAACACACACAGAGUCUGUUGAAGGAUCCUGCUUAAUUUAUCUUUAGGUUCCCAGGACCGGUCACAUGGUCAGGCACAUAAUACAUGCUCAUUAAGUGCUUGUUGAAAGGAUAGGUGAAUAAACCCAUGCAGGCAUGGGGUAAUGUAAGAAAAAAGAUGACACCUUCAACCUCUUGUUGUUCUCUAAAAGAAGCUG